rnacentral:rRNA from 1 species
UACGUAGGUGGCAAGCGUUGUCCGGAUUUACUGGGCGUAAAGAGCGCGCAGGCGGUCGUUCAAGUCGAGUGUGAAAGCCCCCCGGCUCAACUGGGGAGGGUCAUUCGAUACUGAUCGACUCGAAGGCAGGAGAGGGAAGUGGAAUUCCCGGUGUAGUGGUGAAAUGCGUAGAUAUCGGGAGGAACACCAGUGGCGAAGGCGACUUCCUGGCCUGUUCUUGACGCUGAGGCGCGAAAGCUAGGGGAGCAAACGGGG